rnacentral:rRNA from 1 species
AGUGGCGAAAGGGUGAGGAAUAGAUAGGAACGUACCCCGUACUCCGGGAUAGCGUCAGGUGCUUGCACCUUUCCGAAAGGGGCGGUAAUACCGGAUAAUGUCUACGGAUCAAAGAUUUAUCGGUAUGGGAGCGGCCUAUCUCCUAUCAGCUUGUUGGUGAGGUAAUGGCUUACCAAGGCUACGACGGGUAGCGGGACUGAGAGGUUGGCCCGCCACAUCGGGACUGAGACACUGCCCGGACCUCCACGGAGGGCUGCAGUAACGGAUAUUGGGCAAUGGGCGAAAGCCUGACCCAGCAAUGCCGCGUGCAGGAUGAAGCCCCUCGGGGUGUAAACUGCUGUCAGGGGCAAGAAAGUCUUCGGAUUGAUCAGCCCCAAAGGAAGUCACGGCUAACUUCGUGCCAGCAGCCGCGGUAAUACGAAGGUGGCGAGCGUUAUUCGGAAUCAUUGGGCUUAAAGGGCACGCAGGCGGGAUAGCAAGUGUCAAGUGAAAUCCCCCGGCUUAACCGGGGAAUUGCUUGACAAACUGCUGUCCUUGAGACAGGCAGGGGUGCAUGGAACUCUUGGUGGAGCGGUGGAAUGCGUAGAUAUCAAGAGGAACGCCGGAGGUGAAGACGGUGCACUGGGCCUGUUCUGACGCUGAGGUGCGAAAGCGUGGGGAGCAAACGGGAUUAGAUACCCCGGUAGUCCACGCCGUAAACGAUGCCUACUAGGUUGUGGGAGUUCUGACGCUCUCACAGCCGCAGC